CACCAUGGUCAUACUACCUUGUAAAUGCCCAAGCCUGUCUGAUCUCAUAAACUAAGCAUGGUUGAGCCUGAUUAGUACUUGGAUAGGAGACCGCUGGGAAUACCAGGUACCAUGGGGC
rnacentral:rRNA from 1 species